GAUGAACGCUCGCUCCAGGCUUAACACAUGCAAGUCGAGGGGAAACGACAUCGAAAGCUUGCUUUUGAUGGGCGUCGACCGGCGCACGGGUGAGUAACGCGUAUCCAACCUGCCCAUCACUUGGGAAUAACCCCGCGAAAGUAAGACUAAUACCCAAUGACAUCCCACGAAGACAUCUGAAUGGGAUUAAAGAUUUAUCGGUGAUGGAUGGGGAUGCGUCUGAUUAGCUUGUUGGCGGGGUAACGGCCCACCAAGGCAACGAUCAGUAGGGGUUCUGAGAGGAAGGUCCCCCACAUUGGAACUGAGACACGGUCCAAACUCCUACGGGAGGCAGCAGUGAGGAAUAUGGGGCAAUGGGCGAGAGCCUGAACCAGCCAAGUAGCGUGCAGGAUGACGGCCCUAUGGGUUGUAAACUGCUUUUAGAAGGGAAUAAAGUGGGUCUCGGGAGACUUUUUGCAUGUACCUUAUGAAUAAGGACCGGCUAAUUCCGUG
rnacentral:rRNA from 1 species